GCGAGGUGGAGCAAACCCCUAAAAGCCGUCCCAGUUCGGAUUGCAGGCUGCAACCCGCCUGUAUGAAGUUGGAAUCGCUAGUAAUCGCGGAUCAGCAUGCCGCGGUGAAUACGUUCCCGGGCCUUGUACACACCGCCCGUCACACCAUGAGAGUCGGGAACACCCGAAGUCCGUAGUCUAACUUUCACGAGAGGACGCGGCCGAAGGUGGGUUCGAUAAUUGGGGUGAAGUCGUAACAAGGUAUC
rnacentral:rRNA from 1 species